AGAGAGAGACAUGCGCGCAUAUCAAUAAGCGGAGGAAAAGAAACUAACAAGGAUUCCCUCAGUAACGGCGAGUGAAGCGGGAAGAGCUCAAAUUUGAAAUCUUCAAGGUUCUACCUUGACGAAUUGUAGUUUAAAGAAGUGUUUUCUGCUGAAGUUUUGGUAAAAGUUCUUUGGAAUAGGACAUCAUAGAGGGUGAGAAUCCCGUAUUUGACCAUUAUUUUCAGCUUUGUGAUACACUUUCAAAGAGUCGGAUUGUUUGGGAAUGCAGUCCAAAAUGGGUGGUAAAUUUCAUCUAAAGCUAAAUAUUGGCGAGAGACCGAUAGCGAACAAGUACCGUGAGGGAAAGAUGAAAAGAACUUUGAAAAGAGAGUUAAACAGUACGUGAAAUUGUCAAAAGGGAAGCGUUUGACACCAGUGUUGUUUUCUCGAAAAUCAAUUAAAAAUGGCUCGAUUUUGUAUUGCUUGAGACCUUAAAAGCUCACUGUACAUUUUUCGUGUCUUUUUUAAUGCACUUUUCGCUUAACAAGUCAACAUCAGUUUCUUUUGUUGUAAAAGGGUCAUUGGAAGGUGGCUUUCUUUUCGGAGAAAGUGUUUAUAGCCUUUGGCCUCUGCAAUCGGAGAGACUGAGGUCUGCAGCGUAGACUCUUCGGGGUUAGAUACAUUUGUGCUAAGUUAUAGCUUUUUAUAGACAACUUGUUGACUAUAAUUAGUCUUGUAGCUUACUCGCUUAUGCUAUUUUACCUACGCUUAGGAUGUUGAAGAUGUAGCACAUCAU
rnacentral:rRNA from 1 species